rnacentral:lncRNA from 1 species
AGGCGAAGAACCCUGCACAUGAAACCACAGUUGACAUACAAACUGAACAAGCCAUUUAAACUAGACACACACAUAAUGGAAAUGCAUAUAACUAUGUUGGUCAAGAGAACACUGGAGUAAAUGUGAAGCAUGAAAAGUAAAAAUAGGAUGGAAGAAAAUAUUUCAGACUCAGAAACAAAGAAUAGUGGAGGACCCUGUUGGACAAUGGAAAGAAUGGAGAGGAGUGAUACGAGAGGCCUGGGAGCUGGUGUGGAGGUGCUGAGGGAGGAGCUGGAGGAGGGAGGACUGGAACAGGUGGGAGGAUGUCCUUGCGAGGAGGUGGAUGUUCCCCACAAUGAGGAGGGAUGUACUUCCCUUAUCACUGCCUGCCAGUGGGAUUUGACUGAGGUUAUUCACCUCCUUGUGACUCCAUGCAACCACACCAGCCAGACAGCGCUGUGUGCGAGUCCUCCUGUCCUCCAGGAGGUGUUGUUAUCAGCUUCAUUCAGGCCUCCACCCCACUGGACGCAGCUCCUCCAGGCUGCCUGGCUGGGAGACCUCCACGCCUUGCAGCAUCUUCUGGCUCAGACAGACCUGGUAGAUGUGAACACCCAGAACAGGAACGGGCUGACCCAUCUAAUGCUGGCUGUGAGGGACGCUGAACUUUUUGAAGGGCUGGACAACCAGUUGCCAUGGGAAUACAGACCUGUAGAGGGGGUCGGGGAACUGCUGGCUCUCUCUGAGGACCUGGGGCCACGUGAUGUCAAUGGCUAUUCUGCUCUUCACUAUGCUGCUCAGAUCCAGAGCCACAUCAAAGACAUAAUAAUGAUGGUUGAGUCCCUCAGGCAGCCAGUGACCCUGGACAUGCGGUUCUUUCACCUUGAUGAUGAAUUGCAAGUGACCUUUCCCAGCCCCUCUACCUCUCUGACCCCUGGCUUCCUCAUUCAGUCUGCGGCCAGCAUAGAGGAUGCACUGGAGUCCUCCAAACGUGUCCCUUUAUUACCCCAUAAUGAAGACAACAGUCAGGGUAAGCCAUGUUCCUCCAAUCCUUAUUGGAAACGUUUACAAACAGUAGGCGGGGUGAUCUUGGACAGUGACUCUUGUUUCUCUGGUCUGCGUGCCUUGUAGGCUCAAGUCCACCCAAAUAGUAAGAGCCCAUCCCUUUUCUCAUAGACUGGGGGGUGGACCCAUCCCACAAAGGCCAGCCAUGCCAGGCCCCAAGCUGAUUGGGUCAUAGUCCUAAAUCACUCCCCUCACGAAGACCAUAGAACCCCAGCUGAGCCUACUCCUGUCAGAGAGAAAAAGUGAUGAAAAAGUGACACUAAAGUGAGAAAGAGAGGCCAGCAGAGAGAGUUAGACGGAUCGAGGUAUAGAGCAAGACAGACCGAAAGAGGCAAACUGAGAGACAGGCCGACAGAGAGAGACAUGCCAACAGAGAGAGACAGACCGACAGUGAAAGAGACA